CGCUUUUUAAGAUUGACUUUUAAAGUUAACUUUUGCCUUGCUUCACUUUCCAAUGUCUGAAAAUCUUAAAAAGAAAAACAGCUAAUAAACUUCACCAACUCCCUUCAUGCAAAUCCCAUGAGAGAGAGAGAGAGAGAGAGAGAGAGAGAGAUGAAGGAGCAUAAAAGAGAAGAUUAAUUCUUGCUUUUACUGUUCACAGAAUUUUAAGUAACAGGGUCUUUACUUAUGUUUUCAGAGAGGAAAAAGAGGUUUUAUGAUCCUGAUGUUAUGUUUUAUUUUUAUAUGUUGUGGCACCAUUGGGGACAUUGAUACUGUGAGACAGGUAACAAAAAAGCUUGUUUGUAUUGCUUAAUUUAGUAAUCUGGAGUUUUACGAUCAAUCUAUACAAGACUCAUAAUAUUUUCUAGAUUAUUUAGCAAAGCUUGUAAAACUUUACCAUUAUAGAGUUCGAACUUAUAAUCCAAUUUCACGGGGCCAGGUAAUGAACAUGUUUGCCUAUCCUGCUUGAAAAAUUGAAAGAAAGACUGGGAUGCCAUGGUCAUAGGGAGCCUCCAACUAAGAACUACUUCACCUCUUUAGUCAAUAGUUGAGAAGAUGCAAAUGAAAAAAGCUGCUAAGCAUUUUCAUAU